AACAAUGACAUGUUAGCUCUGAUGAUAUUUGAAGCUUUGGAACUUCAAUGCAGCUGUCCCAAUUUCAGGCCAUCGAAAGUUGAAUUCAAUUGCUCAUUGAGAUGCUGCUGCUUCAUAUCUUGUCGCAGUAUUGCAGGCUUGGCAAUUUGAGUGGUAAUGGAUCUUUACAUGCUGCUUGGACAUGGGUUAGGCUGCUGUCAUACAAAACUGCAACUGGGUAAGGAACUUAAUGCUUUGUGUAGAAUUUGGUGUUCUAAGCUUUAUAAAAGCAACUGCGUUCCAAAAUUGAGCCUGAAAGUUAUAAUGCUUAUGUUAGCUGAAUGUUGCUAUCAUGAUACAAGAAUUCAGUGCAAUGAUUCAGAGCAACUGAGAUAGCCUGAAAAGGAAGAGUCUGGUGUUGUUGGUCAGCAGGUAUGAUUCAGGGUAAUGUUACCAAGCAGUUCAGAAAGAGACUCAGAUUCAAAGUCAGAGAUAGGUUCACUACUGAUAGAGUGAUAGGAUGCAGGCUGUUAGAUUUGUUUGUAGAUUUCGAGCUUCUCUUUAGUUUUACUUCGCACCUCAAAUUCUAAAAUGGCUGUUAGAUUUGUUUGUAGGAAGGUUCUUGCUGGAUAUUGCAGUGUAUACUUCAAUUGUCAUUUAAUUUCUACAACUAAAAAUAGCACUGCAUACUUCAAUUUCUUUUAUACUCUUCUGCUCUUCUUUAUUGGAUCCUAUUGUUUGGUUUGCUUGCAGAUCCAGUUUUGGAUAUCUUGACUGGAAUCAUGAGCUUGUGAGUUUACAACAUAAAUAUUUUUUGAUUGGCUUGCUUUGUACUGACACAACUGCUCCUCAGUUACAAUGCUCCUCAACCUCCAAGGAGCGAUCAUCAGGUGCAGUUUGCAACUAGCAAAAUUAUAUGAACUGAAUAGAUUGCCUUCUUAAUCUUUUUUUUUUGAAACUGUCUUAUUGAAGAGAAAUUCUGAACUCUAUACUGUGAGAUGACAGGAUCUAUUCUUGUUUGCAGAGGCUUCUGGUGCAGAAAAUUCUGAUGAAACAUGUGAAAGUUUUGGUUUUGCAUUAGUCAAUGGUGCUCUUGGUGUGUUUGAAGUUCAUGGGCGCCGGAUACGAGAUUUUAGAUGGAUUUGCAAGAGAAGAGAUGCAAGCUAUUUGCUCGGGUUCCUGAUCUUAUCACAACUCUAUAUGCAUUGUUUCUGAGUAGAAUUAUGUGAUGCUGCACUUAAA